rnacentral:rRNA from 1 species
AUGAUUUUGGGGAAUCACCUUGCUAUUACUCAAACAAGCAUGAAACAUAUGCUUGCAUAUUCUUCCAUAGGGCAAAUCAGAUAUGUAACUAUGGGAAUAAUUGUUGGAGACUCAAAUGAUGGAUAUGCAAGCAUGAUAACUUAUAUAAUGUUAUAUAUCUCCAUGAAUCUAAGAACUUUUGCUUGCAUUGUAUUAUUUGGUCUACGUACCGGAACUAAUAACAUUCGAGAUUAUGCAGGAUUAUACACGAAAGAUCAUUUUUAGGCUCUCUGUUUAGCCCUAUGUCUCUUAUCCCUGGGAGGCCUUCCUCCACUAGCAGGUUUCUUCGGAAAACUCUAUCUAUUCUGGUGUGGAUGGCAAGCAGGCAUAUAUUUCUUGGUUUCAAUAGGACUACUUACGAGUGUUAUUUCUAUCUAA